rnacentral:rRNA from 1 species
GUCCUAGCUGUAAACGAUGGGCACUAGGUGUGGGGGGAUCGACCCCUUCCGUGCCGCAGUUAACGCAUUAAGUGCCCCGCCUGGGGAGUACGACCGCAAGGUUGAAACUCAAAGGAAUUGACGGGGGCCCGCACAAGCGGUGGAGCAUGUGGUUUAAUUCGAUGAUACGCGAAGAACCUUACCGGGGCUUGACAUGCAGCUGAAGUUUGGUGGAAACACCUUAUGUCCCUCACGGGACAGUUGCACAGGUGCUGCAUGGCUGUCGU